GAGUUUGAUCCUGGCUCAGGAUGAACGCUAGCGGCAGGCCUAACACAUGCAAGUCGAGGGGUAACAUAGAAAAGCUUGCUUUUCUGAUGACGACCGGCGCACGGGUGCGUAACGCGUAUACAAUCUGCCUUAUACUGGGGUAUAGCCUUUAGAAAUGAAGAUUAAUCCCCCAUAGCCUCUUUUAAUGGCAUCAUUAUUAGAGUAAAGGUUACGGUAUAAGAUGAGUAUGCGUUCUAUUAGUUUGUUGGUGAGGUAACGGCUCACCAAGACUACGAUAGAUAGGGGCCCUGAGAGGGGGAUCCCCCACACUGGUACUGAGACACGGACCAGACUCCUACGGGAGGCAGCAGUGAGGAAUAUUGGACAAUGGAGGCAACUCUGAUCCAGCCAUGCCGCGUGCAGGAAGACUGCCCUAUGGGUUGUAAACUGCUUUUGUACAGGAAGAAACCUUGGUACGUGUACCAAGCUGACGGUACUGUAAGAAUAAGGAUCGGCUAACUCCGUGCCAGCAGCCGCGGUAAUACGGAGGAUCCAAGCGUUAUCCGGAAUCAUUGGGUUUAAAGGGUCCGUAGGUGGAUAAUUAAGUCAGAGGUGAAAUCUUGCAGCUCAACUGUAAAAUUGCCUUUGAUACUGGUUAUCUUGAGUCAUUAUGAAGUAGUUAGAAUAUGUAGUGUAGCGGUGAAAUGCAUAGAUAUUACAUAGAAUACCAAUUGCGAAGGCAGAUUACUAAUAAUGUACUGACACUGAUGGACGAAAGCGUGGGUAGCGAACAGGAUUAGAUACCCUGGUAGUCCACGCCGUAAACGAUGUUACUAGCUGUGUGGACUUCGGUCUGCGUGGCUAAGCGAAAGUGAUAAGUAACCCACCUGGGGAGUACGUUCGCAAGAAUGAAACUCAAAGGAAUUGACGGGGGCCCGCACAAGCGGUGGAGCAUGUGGUUUAAUUCGAUGAUACGCGAGGAACCUUACCAGGGCUUAAAUGUAAGUUGCAUUAGUUAGAGAUAGCUAUUUCUUCGGACCACUUACAAGGUGCUGCAUGGUUGUCGUCAGCUCGUGCCGUGAGGUGUCAGGUUAAGUCCUAUAACGAGCGCAACCCCUGUUGUUAGUUGCCAGCGAGUCAUGUCGGGAACUCUAACAAGACUGCCGGUGCAAACCGUGAGGAAGGUGGGGAUGACGUCAAAUCAUCACGGCCCUUACGUCCUGGGCUACACACGUGCUACAAUGGUCGGUACAGAAAGCAGCCACUGCGCGAGCAGGAGCGAAUCUAUAAAACCGAUCACAGUUCGGAUCGGAGUCUGCAACUCGACUCCGUGAAGCUGGAAUCGCUAGUAAUCGGAUAUCAGCCAUGAUCCGGUGAAUACGUUCCCGGGCCUUGUACUCACCGCCCGUC
rnacentral:rRNA from 1 species